rnacentral:rRNA from 1 species
ACCGGCAGCUCUAGUGGUAGUCAAUUUUAUGGGCCUAAAGCGUCCGUAGCCGGUUUAAUAAGUCUCGUGGUGAAAUCCUGUAGCUUAACGUGUGGGAAUUGCUGGAGAUACUAUUAGACUUGAGACCGGGAGAGGUUAGAGGUACUCCCAGGGUAGAGGUGAAAUUCUGUAAUCCUGGGAGGACCGCCUGUUGCGAAGGCGUCUAACUGGAACGGUUCUGACGGUGAGGGACGAAAGUUAGGGGCGCGAACCGGAUUAGAUACCCGGGUAGUCCUAAACUGUAAACGAUGCGGACUUGGUGUUGGGGUGGCUUUGAGCUGCUCCAGUGCCGAAGGGAAGCUGUUAAGUCCGCCGCCUGGGAAGUACGGUCGCAAGACUGAAACUUAAGGAAUUGGCGGGGGAGCACCACAACGCGUGGAGCCUGCCGGUUUAAUUGGAUUCAACGCCGGACAUCUCACCAGAGGCGACAGCUGUAUGAUAGCCAGGUUGAUGACUUUGCUUGACUAGCUGAGUGGAGGUGCAUGG